UUUUUUUUUGAAGACGUUAAGAAAAGUUAGUGAGAGAGAGUGAGAAAGAGAGAACAAGAUAGAGAGAGACUGUAUAUGAAAAAGGAAAGUUGGGUGUGUCAUGUGUUUGUGAAGUCUUUACCCUUCCACUGAUUGUAAGCCAAAAAAGACUGAAGAAUCAUUCUAUCCCCACUUCACCUACUGUCCAACACCCUUUCUGUAUAGACCCUUUUUUUUUGGUAUUCUUGGUACAGUCCUGUUCUCAUCAGAUUAGACCUAAAAUCAGUUUUUUCCAAUAAUUUGCCCUAUUGUCCUCACCUCAACUCACCCCUAAUAUCCCUAAAACCUUUUCUGGGUUUUUUUUUGCCUAUUUUGUUUGUUUGUGUGUGUGGAGAUAUGGUGAGAGGGAAGACUCAGAUGAGGAGGAUAGAGAACGCUACAAGCAGGCAAGUCACCUUUUCCAAAAGGAGAAAUGGGCUUCUGAAGAAGGCAUUUGAGCUCUCGGUUCUCUGCGAUGCUGAGGUUGCUCUCAUCAUCUUCUCUCCUAGGGGAAAGCUCUAUGAAUUUGCUAGUUCAAGCAUGCAGGAGACGAUACAGCGCUAUCAGAGGCAUACAAAAGAUGUUCAAACUGACAACUCAUCAGUGGAAGAAAACAUGCAGCAUUUGAAGCAUGAGGCAGCAGACAUGGCAAAGCAGAUAGAGCUUCUUGAAGUUGCGAAAAGGAAACUCUUGGGAGAGGAUCUGGGGUCAUGCACCAUGGAAGAACUGCAGCAAAUUGAACAACAGUUGGAGCGGAGUGUAAGCAGAGUCCGGGCUAAAAAGAUGGAGGCUUUCAUGGAACAGGUUGAUCAACUUAAGGAAAAGGAGAAAGUCCUAACAGCUGAAAAUGCAAAGCUUUGUGAGAAGAAAUGUACUUUCAAGGAUCUGAAUACAGAGAAAGGCUUCUUCCAAUAGAUUUCUUCGUUUGCUUUUAUUUCCCGAGGGAACAACAACAAAUGGAAGAUUUCUCAUUUCUUUCCAACUUCGUGCAUUUAUCCUUGGAUGUCCUGUCCAGCCAGUGAUUGUUCGCUAUCCCCAUGUACACUUCGGCCAAUCUUGGGGAAAUGUUACUUUGGCGAUGCUCAUGUUUAGAAUGUUCACGCAGUUUCACAAUGUCAUGGAGGUAUACUGUAGCUGAAGGAGUCCCCCAUUGUCUCUGUGGCUGAGUGAUUAAUUUAUUUAUUUUUUUGUAGUUGCAUAUUCUGAAAAUGUAGUUUAGCUUGUAUUUGUUUUCUUGUUAGAUUUCUGUAUAAUAAGGUCUGAGGUGGCAAAUCAUUUAUAGUAAUGCCCCAAUUUGCCAUAUUUUUUUGGAAAAUUAGUAAGCAUAUGAAAUUUAAAAAGCAAAAAAAAAAAAAUAAAAAAAA